rnacentral:misc_RNA from 1 species
CCGAGUUAGGGUCUGCCCUCGCGCGGCCCGACCUCCCAACCCUGUGUCUACACCACCUUGUCGUUGCUUCGGCGGACCGGUCGACCAACUGGUCUCGACCGCCGGGGGCCCUUUGCUGCCCCUGGAGAGCGUCCGCCGACGGCCCCCCACAAUAACUCUUGUACCGAAACGUGUCGUCUGAAUGCAAACUUGAUAAUAAUCAAAACACA